rnacentral:rRNA from 1 species
AUUGAACGCUGGCGGCAGGCCUAACACAUGCAAGUCGAACGGUAACAGGAAGAAGCUUGCUUCUUUGCUGACGAGUGGCGGACGGGUGAGUAAUGUCUGUGAAACUGCCUGAUGGAGGGGGAUAACUACUGGAAACGGUAGCUAAUACCGCAUACCGUCGCAAGACCAAAGAGGGGGACCUUCGGGCCUCUUGCCAUCGGAUGUGCCCAGAUGGGAUUAGCUAGUAGGUGGGGUAACGGCUCACCUAGGCGACGAUCCCUAGCUGGUCUGAGAGGAUGACCAGCCACACUGGAACUGAGACACGGUCCAGACUCCUACGGGAGGCAGCAGUGGGGAAUAUUGCACAAUGGGCGCAAGCCUGAUGCAGCCAUGCCGCGUGUAUGAAGAAGGCCUUCGGGUUGUAAAGUACUUUCAGCGGGGAGGAAGGGAGUAAAGUUAAUACCUUUGCUCAUUGACGUUACCCGCAGAAGAAGCACCGGCUAACUCCGUG